rnacentral:tRNA from 1 species
GUCCCCGUCGUCUAGCCGGCCCAGGACACCGCACUCAAAGCGGAGACGUCGGCUCGGAUCCAGUCGGGGACACCC